ACGGAAGGCAGCAGUGGGGGAUAUUGCACAAUGGGGGAAACCCUGAUGCAGCGACGCCGCGUGAGUGAAGAAGUAUUUCGGUAUGUAAAGCUCUAUCAGCAGGAAAGAUAAUGACGGUACCUGACUAAGAAGCACCGGCUAAAUACGUGCCAGCAGCCGCGGUAAUACGUAUGGUGCAAGCGUUAUCCGGAUUUACUGGGUGUAAAGGGAGCGCAGACGGCAUGGCAAGCCAGAUGUGAAAGGCAGGGGCUCAACUCCUGGACUGCAUUUGGAACUGUCAAGCUAGAGUAUCGGUGAGGUAAGUGGAAUUCCUAGUGUAGCGGUGAAAUGCGUAGAUAUUAGGAGGAACACCAGUGGCGAAGGCGGCUUACUGGACGAUAACUGACGUUGAGGCUCGAAAGCGUGGGGAGCAAACAGGAUUAGAUACCCUGGUA
rnacentral:rRNA from 1 species